AGAGUUUGAUCCUGGCUCAGGACGAACGCUGGCGGCGCGCCUAAUACAUGCAAGUCGAGCGAGAACCUGGGCUUCGGCCCAGGGGACAGCGGCGAACGGGUGCGUAACACGUGAGCAACCUGCCCCGAAGACCGGGAUAACACCGGGAAACCGGUGCUAAUACCGGAUGCCCUCUUCCGACCGCAUGAUUGGACGAGGAAAUGGAUUCCGCUUCGGGAUGGGCUCGCGGCCUAUCAGCUUGUUGGUGGGGUAACGGCCUACCAAGGCGACGACGGGUAGCUGGUCUGAGAGGACGAUCAGCCACACUGGGACUGAGACACGGCCCAGACUCCUACGGGAGGCAGC
rnacentral:rRNA from 1 species